ensembl:snRNA U6 U6 spliceosomal RNA
GUGCUUGCUUAGGCAGCAUGUAUACUAAAAUUGGAAUGAUACAGAUAAGAUUAGCAUGGUCCCUGCGCAAGGAUGACAUGCAAAUUCAUGAAGCGUUCCAUUUAAAA